rnacentral:rRNA from 1 species
GAUGAACGCUGGCGGCGUGCCUAAUACAUGCAAGUCGAGCGAACAGACGAGGAGCUUGCUCCUCUGACGUUAGCGGCGGACGGGUGAGUAACACGUGGAUAACCUACCUAUAAGACUGGGAUAACUUCGGGAAACCGGAGCUAAUACCGGAUAAUAUAUUGAACCGCAUGGUUCAAUAGUGAAAGACGGUUUUGCUGUCACUUAUAGAUGGAUCCGCGCCGCAUUAGCUAGUUGGUAAGGUAACGGCUUACCAAGGCAACGAUGCGUAGCCGACCUGAGAGGGUGAUCGGCCACACUGGAACUGAGACACGGUACAGACUCCUACGGGAGGCAGCAGUCGGGAAUCUUCCGCAAUGGGCGAAAGCCUGACGGAGCAACGCCGCGUGAGUGAUGAAGGUCUUCGGAUCGUAAAACUCUGUUAUUAGGGAAGAACAAAUGUGUAAGUACCUAUGCACGUCUUGACGGUACCUAAUCAGAAAGCCACGGCUAACUACGUG